ensembl:Mt_tRNA
GUAGAUAUAGUUUAACUAAAACAUUAGAUUGUGAGUCUAACUAUAGAAGCUUACCACUUCUUAUUUACC